rnacentral:rRNA from 1 species
CAGCAGCCGCGGUAAGACAGAGGAUGCAGGCGUUAUCCGGAAUGAUUGGGCGUAAAGCGUCUGUAGGUGGCUUUUCAAGUCCGCUGUCAAAUCCCAGGGCUCAACCCUGGACAGGCGGUGGAAACUACCAAGCUAGAGUACGGUAGGGGCAGAGGGAAUUUCCAGUGGAGCGGUGAAAUGCGUUGAGAUCGGAAAGAACACCAACGGCGAAAGCACUCUGCUGGGCCGACACUGACACUGAGAGACGAAAGCUAGGGGAGCAAAUGGGAUUAGAUACCCCCGUAGUCCCUGUCUCUUAUAC